rnacentral:rRNA from 1 species
AUUGAACGCUGGCGGCAGGCCUAACACAUGCAAGUCGAGCGGGGUUUUCGGACCUAGCGGCGGACGGGGGAGUAAUGCGUAGGAAGCUGCCCGAUAGAGGGGGAUACCAGUUGGAAACGACUGUUAAUACCGCAUAAUGUCUACGGACCAAAGUGUGGGACCUUCGGGCCACCUGCUAUCGGACGCCCCUAAGUGGGAUUAGCUAGUUGGUGGUGUAAUGGCUCACCAAGGCGACGAUCUCUAGCUGGUUGGAGAGGAUGAUCAGCCACACUGGAACUGAGACAAGGUCCAGACUCCUACGGGAGGCAGCAGUGGGGAAUAUUGGACAAUGGGCGCAAGCCUGAUCCAGCCAUGCCGCGUGUGUGAAGAAGGCCUUCGGGUUGUAAAGCACUUUCAGCGAGGAGGAAGGGGUGUGUGUUAAUAGUACACACCUUUGACGUUACUCGCAGAAGAAGCACCGGCUAACUCUGUGCCAGCCGCCGCCGUAAAAC